UUUGUAUUUUUAGUAGAGAUGGGGUUUCACCAUGUUGGCCAGGCUGGUCUCAAACUCCUGACCUCAGCCUCCCAAGUAGCUGGGAUUAUAGGCAUGCACCACCACGCCCAGCUAAUUUUUGUAUUUUUUGUGGACAUGGGAUUUCACCAUGUUGCCCAGGCUGGUCUCGAACUCCUGAGCUCAAGUGAUCAAGGCCUGCCUCGGCCUCCCAAAGUGCUGGGAUUACAGAUGUGAGCCACCGAGCCUGGCUGGUUUUUGCCUUUUGACUUGAGAACAGGUAGAUGAUCUUGCCAUUUGCUGAUGUGAGGAAGACUGAGGAGGGACAGAGUUUUGGUGGGGAGGAAUUCAAAGUUCUGUUUUGGACAUGUUAAAUUCAAAAUGCCCAUGAGACAUGCAAGUAGAGAAGUAGACAGUGGGCUGGAGCACAUGCUGUCUGUGUAAUUGUCCAAACCAGUCGUGGUAAGCAGAAUAAUGGCCCUCACCAAAGAUGUCCACACCUUAACCCCCAGAACCUGUGAGUAUGUUACCUUUCAUGACAAAAGAGACUUUGCAGAUGUGAUUACUGUUACAGACAUUGAGAUGGAGGGAUUCUCCUGGAUUCAUUGGGUGGGCCCCUAAUCACAAUCCUUAAAAUCACAAGUGGGGCCAGGCACGGUGGCUCACGGCUAUAAUCCCAGCACUUUGGGCGGCCAAGGCGGGUGGAUCAUUUGAGGUCAGGGGUUUGAGACCAGCCUGGCCAACAUGGUGAAACCCCACCUCUACUAAAAAUACAAAAAUUAGCCGGGUGUGGUGGCACACACCUGUAAUUCCAGCUACUCAGGAGGCUGAGGCAGGAGCAUCGCUUGAACCUGGGAGGUGGAGGUUGCAGUGAGCCAAGAUCACACCACUACAAUCCAGCCUGGGUGACAGAGUGAGACUUUGUCUCAAAAAAAAGAAAAAAAAAAAAUCACAAGUGGAAGAGGAAGACAGAAGAAUGGGUCAGGGAGAUGCAAGGAUGGAAGAAGAGGCAGGAGAAAUGAGGCCUGAGAAGAACUGGACUCGCCACUGCUGGCUUUGAAGACAAAGGUUUCCAGGUGCCAAGAAAUGGGUAUGGCCUCUAGAAGCUGAGCAUGACCCUCAGCUGACAGCCAGCAAGGAAACAAAGGACUUCAGCCCUACAGUCACAAUGAACUGAACUCAGCCAAGAACCUGAAUAAGCAAGCUAACCAAUUCACCUCUGGAGCCUCCAGAGAGGCAUGCAGGCCUGCCGACACUUCGAUUUUGGCCCAGUGAGACCCACGUCAGACUUGUGACUACAGAACUACAAGCUAAUAAAUUUGUGUUGUUUAAGCCAAUGCAUUUGUGGUAAUUUGUUAUAGCAGCCAUAGGAAACUAGUAUAUCAGAACUUUAUUGAUAAUUAUUUCAGGAUAAUAGGGACAAGUCUAGAGUGUGGGGAAGAGUGAUGACUGGAGAUAGGAAUUUGGGUGUCAUCAGCAGAUAGAUGGCAAGGGACUGAGUAAGAGCAGCAAAGGAGUGGAUGGGAAGAAACUUCUGGGGGAGUUGGAAGCAACAAAAACUGACACUCAGGAUGGUGGCCAAAGAAAGGCCUCAAGGGACGUGAGGCCGGGCAUGGUGACUCAUGCCUAUAAUCCCCGCACUUUGGGAGGCCGAGGUGGGUGAAUCUCUUGAGGUCAGGAGUUUGAGACCAGCCUGGCCAACAUAGUGAAACCCCAUCUCUACAAAAAUACAAAAAUUACCUGGGUGUGGUGGCGGGCACAUGUAAUCCCAGAUACUUGGGAGGGUGAGGCAGGAGAAUUGCUUCAGCCCGGGAGGCGGAGGUUGCCGUGAGUUGAGAUCACACCACUGCACUCCAGCCUGGGCAACAGAGCAAGACUCUGUCUCAAAAAAAAAAAAAAAAAGAUGGGACUUGAACCAGGCAUGCUGACUUGAAGCCCUAGUACAUUCUAUUGUGAUGCAGGUGCCUCUAAUCUAAUCACAGACAAUGAGGAGGAAAAAAAACAAGUAUAACAACAAUAGGAGACUGGAGAAGGGAUAGACACGGGGAAAGUCGGGGCAAGUUGGGGCAAGUCGGGAAAAGUCGUGUACUAGCAGAAAGCAAAAAUAAAUUCUUCAGUCAUUCGUAUCUCUCCCUUUUGUUGUCAUUGCUAGCCAAAAAUAAAAGUAAUAUCCAAACUAACUGAUAUGAUAUUCAGGUCCAUUUGACAGCUGUUACUUAGGAACUGUCUAAAAUAUUCCAAUGGGGCCAGGCACAGUGGCUCAUGCCUGUAAUCUCAGCACUUUGGGAGGCCAAGGUGGGAGGACUGCUUGAGUCCAAAGAGUUCAAGACAAGCUUGGGCAACAUAGGGAGAUCCUGUCUCUACAAAAAAAUUUAAGAAUUAGCCAGAGGUGGUGGCAGGUGCCUGUGGUCCCAGCUAAUCGAGAGGCUGAGGUGGGAGGGUCACUUGAGCCCAGGAGGUCAAGGAUGUAGUGACAGUGAGCCAUGAUCACGCCACUGCACUCCAGCCUGGGCGACAGAGUGAAACCUUAUCUCAAAAAUAAAUAUAAAUAAAUAAAUAAAAUAUUACAAUAGGAUGAUGGAAACGAGGGGGGUGUGUUUGACAUACAGCAAAGCACAUAUAGCUAUAGUAGUCAUCAGAAGAUAAAUACCACAUAUUAGAUCCUGAAAUAAAUAUUUUUGCUCACAUCUCUAAAAGGAAACUUGAAAUAAAAUUUCAUGUACUCAUUAUGUUUACUUUGGAAUUAGAAGUUAUACAUCUUUAUCAAAGAUGAAUCUCUGCUCCAUUUUCAAUAAGCUCACCUGGGGAUCCUGAUUGUUAUACCAAGCUGC
rnacentral:lncRNA from 1 species